rnacentral:rRNA from 1 species
UACAGAGGGGGCAAGCGUUGUUCGGAAUUACUGGGCGUAAAGGGCGCGUAGGCGGCCUGUUAAGUCGAACGUGAAAUCCCCGGGCUCAACCCGGGAACUGCGUCCGAUACUGGCAGGCUUGAAUUCGGGAGAGGGAUGUGGAAUUCCAGGUGUAGCGGUGAAAUGCGUAGAUAUCGGGAGGAACACCGGUGGCGAAGGCGGUUCUCUGGGCCUGACCUGACGCUGAGGAGCGAAAGCGUGGGGAGCGAACAGG